CCCUUAGAUGUUCUGGGCCGCACGCGCGCUACACUGAUGCAUUCAACGAGUCUAAAACCUGCUCUGAUAGGGGUGGGUAAUCUUUUGAAUGUGCAUCGUGAUUGGGAUAGAUGAUUGCAAUUUUUCAUCUUCAACGAGGAAUGCCUAGUAAACGCAAGUCAUCAGCUUGCAUUGAAUACGUCCCUGCCCUUUGUACACACCGCCCGUCGCUCCUACCGAUUGAGUGGUCCGGUGAGGCUUUGGGAUCUGAGCGGAAAGAGCGUUUCGCUGUUUCUGCCCGGAAAACUCAGUCGAACCUUAUCAUUUAGAGGAAGGAGAAGUCGUAACA
rnacentral:rRNA from 1 species